GACGAACCGUGCGAACGUUGUUCGGAAUCACUGGGCUUAAAGGGCGCGUAGGCGGACCAUCAAGUCCGGGGUGAAAUCCUCCGGCUUAACCGGAGAAUUGCCUGGGAUACUGGUGGUCUUGAGGGAGGUAGGGGCACGGCGGAACUUCCGGUGGAGCGGUGAAAUGCGUUGAUAUCGGAAGGAACGCCGGUGGCGAAAGCGGCGUGCUGGCCCUCUUCUGACGCUGAGGCGCGAAAGCGUGGGGAGCAAACAGG
rnacentral:rRNA from 1 species